rnacentral:sRNA from 1 species
UACAUGUCGUCAAAUGCCUUAACAACUUG